UGUGUUGUUGGGUAGGGGAGCGUUCUGUAAGCCUGUGAAGGUGUGCUGUGAGGCAUGCUGGAGGUAUCAGAAGUGCGAAUGCUGACAUAAGUAACGAUAAAGCGGGUGAAAAGCCCGCUCGCCGGAAGACCAAGGGUUCCUGUCCAACGUUAAUCGGGGCAGGGUGAGUCGACCCCUAAGGCGAGGCCGAAAGGCGUAGUCGAUGGGAAACAGGUUAAUAUUCCUGUACUUGGUGUUACUGCGAAGGGGGGACGGAGAAGGCUAUGUUGGCCGGGCGACGGUUGUCCCGGUUUAAGCGUGUAGGCUGGUUUUCCAGGCAAAUCCGGAAAAUCAAGGCUGAGGCGUGAUGACGAGGCACUACGGUGCUGAAGCAACAAAUGCCCUGCUUCCAGGAAAAGCCUCUAAGCAUCAGGUAACAUCAAAUCGUACCCCAAACCGACACAGGUGGUCAGGUAGAGAAUACCAAGGCGCUUGAGAGAACUCGGGUGAAGGAACUAGGCAAAAUGGUGCCGUAACUUCGGGAGAAGGCACGCUGAUAUGUAGGUGAAGUCCCUCGCGGAUGGAGCUGAAAUCAGUCGAAGAUACCAGCUGGCUGCAACUGUUUAUUAAAAACACAGCACUGUGCAAACACGAAAGUGGACGUAUACGGUGUGACGCCUGCCCGGUGCCGGAAGGUUAAUUGAUGGGGUCAGCGCAAGCGAAGCUCUUGAUCGAAGCCCCGGUAAACGGCGGCCGUAACUAUAACGGUCCUAAGGUAGCGAAAUUCCUUGUCGGGUAAGUUCCGACCUGCACGAAUGGCGUAAUGAUGGCCAGGCUGUCUCCACCCGAGACUCAGUGAAAUUGAACUCGCUGUGAAGAUGCAGUGUACCCGCGGCAAGACGGAAAGACCCCGUGAACCUUUACUAUAGCUUGACACUGAACAUUGAGCCUUGAUGUGUAGGAUAGGUGGGAGGCUUUGAAGUGUGGACGCCAGUCUGCAUGGAGCCGACCUUGAAAUACCACCCUUUAAUGUUUGAUGUUCUAACGUGGACCCGUGAUCCGGGUUGCGGACAGUGUCUGGUGGGUAGUUUGACUGGGGCGGUCUCCUCCUAAAGAGUAACGGAGGAGCACGAAGGUUGGCUAAUCCUGGUCGGACAUCAGGAGGUUAGUGCAAUGGCAUAAGCCAGCUUGACUGCGAGCGUGACGGCGCGAGCAGGUGCGAAAGCAGGUCAUAGUGAUCCGGUGGUUCUGAAUGGAAGGGCCAUCGCUCAACGGAUAAAAGGUACUCCGGGGAUAACAGGCUGAUACCGCCCAAGAGUUCAUAUCGACGGCGGUGUUUGGCACCUCGAUGUCGGCUCAUCACAUCCUGGGGCUGAAGUAGGUCCCAAGGGUAUGGCUGUUCGCCAUUUAAAGUGGUACGCGAGCUGGGUUUAGAACGUCGUGAGACAGUUCGGUCCCUAUCUGCCGUGGGCGCUGGAGAACUGAGGGGGGCUGCUCCUAGUACGAGAGGACCGGAGUGGACGCAUCACUGGUGUUCGGGUUGUCAUGCCAAUGGCACUGCCCGGUAGCUAAAUGCGGAAGAGAUAAGUGCUGAAAGCAUCUAAGCACGAAACUUGCCCCGAGAUGAGUUCUCCCUGACCCUUUAAGGGUCCUGAAGGAACGUUGAAGACGACGACGUUGAUAGGCCGGGUGUGUAAGCGCAGCGAUGCGUUGAGCUAACCGGUACUAAUGAACCGUGAGGCUUAACCU
rnacentral:rRNA from 1 species